UCCGGGAUCGUCUAGUGGUAGGACGCCAGGUUUUGGUCCUGGAAACUGGGGUUCGAAUCCCUGUCCCGGAGCCA
rnacentral:tRNA from 1 species